AUUGAACGCUGGCGGCAGGCCUAACACAUGCAAGUCGAGCGGAGCGGCGGACGGGUGAGUAAUGCAUAGGAAUCUGCCUGGUAGUGGGGGAUAACGUACGGAAACGGGCGCUAAUACCGCAUACUCACAGAUGAGCCUAGGUCGGAGUAGCGAGUUGGGGGGGUAAAGGCAUACCAAGUCGCCGAUCCGUAACUGGUCUGAGAGGAUGAUCAUGCACACUGGAACGUAGACACGGUCCAGACUCCUACGGGAGUCAGCAGUGGGGAAGAUUGGACAAUGGGCGAAAGCCUGAUCCAGCCAUGCCGCGUGUGUGAAGAAGGUCUUCGGAUUGUAAAGCACUUUAAGUUGGGAGGCGUUACCAACAGAAUAAGCACCGGCUAACUUCGUGCCAGCAGCCGCGGUAAUAC
rnacentral:rRNA from 1 species